rnacentral:rRNA from 1 species
CACGUAGUUAGCCGGUGCUUCUUCUACACCUACCGUCACCACCCGAAGAUGGCUUCGUCGGUGUCGAAAGAGGUUUACAACCCGAAGGCCGUCAUCCCCCACGCGGCGUUGCUGCGUCAGGCUUUCGCCCAUUGCGCAAGAUUCCCCACUGCUGCCUCCCGUAGGACGUCUGGGCCGUGUCUCAGUCCCAGUGUGGCCGGUCACCCUCUCAGGCCGGCUACCCGUCGUCGCCUUGGUAGGCCAUCACCCCACCAACAAGCUGAUAGGCCGCGGGCUCAUCCUGCACCGCCGGAGCUUUCCACACCACACCAUGCGGCACGAUGUCAUAUCCGGUAUUAGACCCCGUUUCCAGGGCUUAUCCCAGAGUGCAGGGCAGAUUACCCACGUGUUACUCACCCGUUCGCCACUCAUCCACGGUGCAAGCACCGCUUCAGCGUUCGACUUGCAUGUGUUAAGCACGCCGCCAGCGUCGUCUCGUAGCCGCGUACGUCGAAACUACU